rnacentral:rRNA from 1 species
GGCUACACACGUGCUACAAUGGGUAGUACAGAGAGUCGCAAAGCCGCAAGGUGGAGCUAAUCUCAGAAAACUAUUCUUAGUUCGGAUUGUACUCUGCAACUCGAGUACAUGAAGUUGGAAUCGCUAGUAAUCGCGAAUCAGCAAUGUCGCGGUGAAUACGUUCUCGGGUCUUGUACACACCGCCCGUCACACCACGAGAGUUGGUUGCACCUGAAGUAGCAGGCCUAACCGCAAGGAGGGAUGCUCCGAGGGUGUGAUUAGCGAUUGGGGUGAAGUCGUAACAAGGUAUCCGUACGGGAACGU